rnacentral:rRNA from 1 species
GACAGAGGGUGCAAACGUUGUUCGGAAUUACUGGGCGUAAAGCGCGUGUAGGCGGCCCUGCAAGUCGGGUGUGAAAUCCCACGGCUCAACCGUGGAAGUGCACUCGAAACUGCAGGGCUAGAGUCCUGGAGAGGAAGGUGGAAUGCUUGGUGUAGAGGUGAAAUUCGUAGAUAUCAAGCGGAACACCAGUGGCGAAGGCGGCACUCUGGGCCGGUACUGACGCUGAGGAGCGAAAGCGUGGGGAGCAAACAGGG